AGCUGAUACAAUCUACAACCUGCCUGACCUUGAGGGCAUUGGGAGGAAGUAGACUAAAUGGUAAACAAGAAUAGUCUUUAUGAAAUUCCGCAACCAAGGGCUGUUACUCUUUAUUUAAAAAUGCCUUCGAUAUUUAAAUGUGUUACCUGCCUUUAGUCAGCCGCUCUAAAAAAUAACUCAUGUUUAGUGAAUAAGUAGUAGUAUCAUCAACAAUUUUACUAGAAAUCUAAGGAAAUAUUAUUGUUUGAAAAUUAUCAUUGAAAUUUGAUACUUCACGAUAUAUAUAUAUAUAUAUAUAUAUAUAUAUAUAUAUAUAUAUAUAUAUAUAUAUAUAUAUAUAUAUAUAUAUAUAUAUAUAUAUAUAUCAAGGCAGGGAAUGUGUUAUUAUAUUAAUUUCCUAGUCAGUUCUUUAUUUAAGAAUUUACCCCUUCUGGAAAACAGGAUAUUUAAAAAGAAAUUCAGAAUGCCAGUUUUUUUUCUAUCUUUCGAACAAAAACUUUCGUCACAUUGGUUUUUUUUGUUUUGUUUUGUUUAGCAUUGAUCAGAUUGUACUUUAAAGCGCGGAAAACUAAAAAAAAAAAAACAUUACCGGAAAUAUGUUGUUGAUGGUUAUUUAGAUGUUUUCAAUGCAUCCAUAGGCAGAAUAAAUUUGAUAAAAAUUUUUUGACUAGGUUUUGAUUGUUGCCUUCCGUAGAAAGUUGUCUUUAGUAUUACCCAGUUUACCGUAUCAUCAGAAUGAAAGAACAAGGGAAGAAUGUCUCCUCCACGUUUUGUCUUCAAAUUUUACAAAAACUAAGAUGUUACAGGAUGAGAAGUAUUUGCCCAAAUAAAAACAAGUUUUAACAAAA